rnacentral:tRNA from 1 species
GGCGGAUGAGCCAAGNGGAUAAAGGCGGG